GGUACUGAAACACCGGUUCUUGUACAAUCACCGAAGUUAAGCAACGUCUAGCCUGAUCAGUACCUAGAUGGGUGACCGCCUAGUAAUAUCAGAUGUUGG